CCCGUACACAAAAAUGCACAUACUGUGAGCUCGAUGAGUAGGGCGGGACACGUGGUAUCCUGUCUGAAUAUGGGGGGACCAUCCUCCAAGGCUAAAUACUCCUGACUGACCGAUAGUGAACCAGUACCGUGAGGGAAAGGCGAAAAGAACCCCGGCGAGGGGAGUGAAAAAGAACCUGAAACCGUGUACGUACAAGCAGUGGGAGCCUCUUUUAUGGGGUGACUGCGUACCUUUUGUAUAAUGGGUCAGCGACUUAUAUUCUGUAGCAAGGUUAACCGAAUAGGGGAGCCGAAGGGAAACCGAGUCUUAACUGGGCGUUAAGUUGCAGGGUAUAGACCCGAAACCCGGUGAUCUAGCCAUGGGCAGGUUGAAGGUUGGGUAACACUAACUGGAGGACCGAACCGACUAAUGUUGAAAAAUUAGCGGAUGACUUGUGGCUGGGGGUGAAAGGCCAAUCAAACCGGGAGAUAGCUGGUUCUCCCCGAAAGCUAUUUAGGUAGCGCCUCGUGAAUUCAUCUCCGGGGGUAGAGCACUGUUUCGGCAAGGGGGUCAUCCCGACUUACCAACCCGAUGCAAACUGCGAAUACCGGAGAAUGUUAUCACGGGAGACACACGGCGGGUGCUAACGUCCGUCGUGAAGAGGGAAACAACCCAGACCGCCAGCUAAGGUCCCAAAGUCAUGGUUAAGUGGGAAACGAUGUGGGAAGGCCCAGACAGCCAGGAUGUUGGCUUAGAAGCAGCCAUCAUUUAAAGAAAGCGUAAUAGCUCACUGGUCGAGUCGGCCUGCGCGGAAGAUGUAACGGGGCUAAACCAUG
rnacentral:rRNA from 1 species